rnacentral:rRNA from 1 species
CCUACGGGGUGCAGCAGUGAGGAAUAUUGGUCAAUGGACGAGAGUCUGAACCAGCCAAGUAGCGUGAAGGAUGACUGCCCUAUGGGUUGUAAACUUCUUUUAUAUGGGAAUAAAAUGUUCCACGUGUGGGAUUUUGUAUGUACCAUAUGAAUAAGGAUCGGCUAACUCCGUGCCAGCAGCCGCGGUAAUACGGAGGAUCCGAGCGUUAUCCGGAUUUAUUGGGUUUAAAGGGAGCGUAGGUGGAUUGUUAAGUCAGUUGUGAAAGUUUGCGGCUCAACCGUAGAAUUGCAGUUGAAACUGGCAGUCUUGAGUACAGUAGAGGUGGGCGGAAUUCGUGGUGUAGCGGUGAAAUGCUUAGAUAUCACGAAGAACUCCGAUUGCGAAGGCAGUUCACUGGACUGCAACUGACACUGAGGCUCGAAAGUGUGGGUAUCAAACAGGAUUAGAUACCCGUGUAGUC